rnacentral:lncRNA from 1 species
AGAAGAGACUAGAUCAUUGUCUGAACCUGCUGCUCAUCAGUGAAGGUAUGACUAACUGUCUUCAGUUCUCUAAUCAUAUUAGACAUCUCUCUUAGAUAUUGCUUGAUUGUAUGACUGGGUCGCUUUUUGUAAGUAUUGAAUUGAUAGUUAGCUACCUCAAUUUGGUUAUAGUUGUACCAUCAAAUUUAUCUUUUAAAUGAAGCCACAUUGUCUGAGCAAAAGAUAAUGGUUCACAUUCACCAAUGAGAUCAUCAGUCAUAGAGCUUAUUAGAAUUUCAUAAGCAAGAGCAUCCUAAUGCUUCCAUGCUCGAUAAGCUUUCUGAUUUUUUUUAUUUUGAAUAGUGUUUCCAUUACCAAGAUCAGUCAUGGUAUGGUGGCUUACCUCUAGUGCUUCUUAUUCUUUAAGAACAUACUAGAUUUUUGUUUGUCAGAUAUUAUAAUUAUCACCAUCCAGCUUUUCACCCUUAUUCAGGUCAGCAAUUAUAUUCUUUGAUGCCAUUGAUUUUCUAGAGACAAUGCUGAGAAUUAAUACUAGCACCUUAACAUUAAUGCACAU